rnacentral:rRNA from 1 species
CACGGGGGGUGCAAGCGUUGUUCGGAAUCACUGGGCUUAAAGCGUGUGUAGGCGGUUGCCUAAGUACCUUGUGAAAUCCCACGGCUCACCCGUGGAACUGCUUGGUAUACUGGGUGUCUUGAGCCACUUAGGGGCUACCGGAACAAAUGGUGGAGCGGUGAAAUGCGUAGAUAUCAUUUGGAACGCCAAUGGUGAAAACAGGUAGCUGGGAGUGUGCUGACGCUGAGACACGAAAGCCAGGGGAGCAAACGGG